AUCGCUUCUCAGCCUUUGGGCUAAGAUCAAGUGUAAUAUCUGUUCUUAUCAGUUUAAUAUCGGAUAUGUCCUCGAUACGAGGACGCUGUAUUAAGCAUCUUUGGAGUGGGGAGGUGGGUUGGGAGCUUGGUCCGUCCCCUCCACGCAUCAGCCUGGCGUUGUUACGAGAAGCAGCGUGGCUCAGUGGAAAGAGC